UCAGGCUUUCUUGGACUUAAUCGAGUCGGGCCUAUAGGCCGGGCCGGGCUUCAGACACCCAAGCCCAAGCCUAGCCGGCCCAAGACGGGCCGGGCCAUCUUAAAGCCCAUAACGGGCCGGGCCGGGCUUUUCUCCAAUUGGUCGGGCGGGCCCCCAUCGGCCCAUGAGCUCGUGGGCCAAAUGAUGAGGCCUAGCCGUGCGGCUGUACUAUUUUAAAAAGGAGGACUCUCUAGCCCCACGUGUCAAAAAUAGUAUAGCCGC
rnacentral:lncRNA from 1 species